rnacentral:sRNA from 1 species
CACCGAAGGUGUUCACCAGCACACUGCUCUGCCAGACAGGCAAAUGUACACUGGGGACCACCAUGUUCACGUGACAUCAAGAGGAAGCGGAAACCAGUGGCCACAGCAUCUUUGUCUAGCCCCAGUGCAGGUGGUAGAAGGACAGCCCCCCUGCCCUGAGACAACACUCGGAGGCCUGUAUUCCAGCGAGAGCGCCCUGACAAGACAGUUCUGGCCACCCUUGCCUGGCUCCUUCACCUUCCCGUCAGUUUCGUGAGUUCUCCAGCCUUUUCCCAGGUGCUCAGAAGUUAUUUAGGAUCUGAGACUCUUGCUUGGGGGUGAUGAGUAGCUCCUGUAUUUGCAGAAUGAAUUCUCGGUGGGACCUUUGGAACAAGCUUCCAUGAAAUAAAUGGCCAUAUUGGAGAAUCCCAAGUGGCAAGGAACUGUCAGCAGUCUCUAAGAGCUGAGGGUAGACUCCAGCAAGAAACUGAAACCCUCAGUCUGACAGCCACAAGGAAAUAAAUUCUGCCAACAACCUGAAGAAGCUUGGAGCAGAUCUUUCCUCAGUUGAGCCUCUGAUGAGACUGCAGCCCGAGCUGUCACCUGGAUAGCAGCUGGUGAAACCCUUCAGCAGAGAAACCAGCCAACCUGUGUGUAAACUUCUGACCUGCAGAAACUAUAGAUAAUGAGUGUGUGUUAUUUAGAACUGCUAAGUUUGUGGUAGUUAAGCAGCAUAGAAAAUGAAUACAGUAGGCCAGGAGUGGUGGCUCACACCUGUAAUCCUAGCACUUU